rnacentral:sRNA from 1 species
ACCGAUAUAUAUAGAACACUCUGAUUAACAUGGUAUCAAUAAAAA